GGAUACCCGAGGGAAACUUCGGUUAAUACGGUAUAAGACCACACUACCGCAUGGUAGAGGGGUAAAAGGGGCAACCUGGUAUGAGAUGGACUCGCGUCGCAUUAGCUAGUUGGUGAGGUAACGGCCCACCAAGGCGACGAUGCGUAGCCGGCCUGAGAGGGUGAUCGGCCACAUUGGGACUGAGAUACGGCCCAGACUCCUACGGGAGGCAGCAGUGGGGAAUAUUGGGCAAUGGAGGAAACUCUGACCCAGCAAUGCCGCGUGAAUGAAGAAGGUCUUCGGAUUGUAAAGUUCUUUAGUCAGGGAAGAAGUCAAUGACGGUACCUGAAGAAUAAGCUCCGGCUAACUACGUGCCAGCAGCCGCGGUAAUACGUAGGGAGCAAGCGUUGUUCGGAAUGACUGGGCGUAAAGGGUGCGUAGGCGGUUGUACAAGUUAGAAGUGAAAUACCCAGGGCUUAACUCGGGUGCUGCUUCUAAAACUGUAUGACUUGAGUGCAGUAGAGGUUAGUGGAAUUCCUAGUGUAGCGGUGGAAUGCGUAGAUAUUAGGAGGAACACCAGAGGCGAAGGCGGCUAACUGGACUGCAACUGACGCUGAGGCACGAAAGUGUGGGGAGCAAACAGGAUUAGAUACCCUGGUAGUCCACACUGUAAACGAUGGAUACUAGAUGUAGGAGGUAUCGACUCCUUCUGCGUCGCA
rnacentral:rRNA from 1 species